GCAUCAUUUAAAAAAUCUCCUACAGAAAGGCCAACUGUGCCAAUGAGAUGGCUGGAAGCUAAACCAAGAACACCUGUGUGAACCGUGGAAUCUCAACGUCAGAGAGGACCUACAAGGAUCUCAGGGGACAGUUACUAAGGUAUGGUGACAGUCUAUUUGAUUCUGUGCCACUAACAAAAGGAUUUCAGCUGUGUGAUUAGGCACAAAAUCGCCACUGCUUGAGCUUGGUUUCUCUCAGCUAGAGUGAUUUAUUCAAGGUUAAAUGCAAGGGCUGGGGAUGUGGCUCAGUGGUAGAGCACCUGCCUGGCAUGGGCGAAGCCCUGGGUUUGAUCCUCAGUUAAAAAAAAAAAAUUAAAGGUAAAUGCAUUUAUAGUAGAUGGUUCCUAAGCCUUCGGAAUCUAUCAACAUCUUGAAACUAAGCAUCCUGCUGAAGAGGAAAGUUUUUUUUUUUUUUUUUUUUUUUUUUUAAAGACAGAGUGGGAGAGAGAGAGAGAGAAUUUUUUAAUAUUUAUUUUUUAGUUCUCGGCAGACACAACAUCUUUGUAUGUGGUGCUGAGGAUCGAACCCGGGCCGCACGCAUGCCAGGUGAGCACGCUACCGCUUGAGCCACAUCCCCAGCCCAAGAAGAAAGUUCUGGGAAGGGAAAGUUUUAGAUGGGACAGUACUUGGGAAUAUCUCCAAGAAAGGUGUCUGAAUGAACACUUCCAGCAGGGAGACUGCAAGAGCAGGUGGUUCCUAAAAAGAGAUGGUCAGAGAAGAACUGCAGAUUUGGGCUUUUUCAUGGAUGUGGCCUCUGGCCUAGGUGGUUGAGAAGUUUGGAAGCACUCCAGGACAAAGAUACUUCACCAGUGCUGACUGGUAGCAAUGCAAUGGGAGCCACAUGUAAAAUAUCAAAAUUUCUAGUAGCCCAUGUAAAAAGAAAGUGAAAAGAAAUAUGUAAUUAACAUUAACAAUAUGUAUAACUGAAUAAGCAUAUAAAAUAUAAAUGUAUAUAUAUAUAUAUAUAUAUAUAUAUAUAUAUAUAUAUAUAUAUAUAUAUAUAUCUUAUCCAUUCAGUUAGUCUACCCUUCCCUUUUUUGUAGAUGAGAACACAGUAAAAUUCAACAAUUAAAAGAGUUAUUUAAGAUCAUACAACUAGUAAGUACCAGAGCCCGAAAUAAAAUACUGAACAAGUAUAUAUCGAGUGCCCUUUAUGUAUAUUCAUUAUAUUAUUCCAAUUUUAUUUUUUUAAACUGUCAUCAAUAUAAAAAUUAUUACAGAGAUAAUUUACAGUCUUGUUUUCUUCCUAAGUCUCGAAAUCUGGCAAGCACAUCUCAAUUUAGACUAGCCGCAGUUCAAGUGUUCAAUAGCCACUGUGGCUACUGGUUGUCUGAGGGAUAGCACUGCUCUAUAGUGAGGAUAGUAAAUAUACUACAGUGCCAAGCUCUCCCAUUUCUCAUCUCUGGUGGAAAUUACCAGGUAGCCACAGCAUCUUUCCUUUCUUUAUUUCUUUUUUCUUUCUUUCUCCUCUUCUUUUUCCCUCUUCUUUUCUGUUGUUGUGAUGGUGGUGGUGCUAGUAGGGACUGAACCCAGGGCCUCAUACAUGCUGGGCAAUGCUCUACCAUUGAACCAUGUCCCUAAUCCCACCCCUUUUCGAUUUUAUUUUGAGACUGGGAAACCCUAAGAUGCCCAGGCUGAUCUCAAACUUGAAAUCGUCCUGUCUCCUGAGUGGCUGGGAUCACGGGUGUACUCUACCACUACCAACUCGUAGCAUCCUUUCUUCAUUAGUCCUGGUGUGUUCUCACAAUAGAGAACAGACUCUCAAACAGAGAGUUCACACCUGGGGAGAAAGUACCCCCCCACACACAAGAUCAGGAGAGCAGAGGUUUGGUCUGCUGAAGUCUGGAUCCCGAAUGUCCUCUGAAGGCCCGUGUGUCAACAAAGGCUCAGUUCGGAGCUUAGCACUAUUGGGAUGUGGUGAGAACUUAGAGGUGGGGCCUAGCGGGAGGUCUAAUGGUGUUCCAUUGAAGAGAACAGAGGGACUCUCUCCUUUCCUCUUUUCUCUCUUUCUUGUGGCAGCCAUGAGGUGAAUGGUUUUGCCAUAUAUGGCUGCCACCAUGUGCUGUCUCACCACAGGCCCAAAGACAAUGGGGCCAACCAAUCACAAACUGAAAGCUCUAAAACUGUGUGUCAAAAGAAAACUUUCCUCUCUUUGAGUUUAUCUUGGGUAUUUUGUUUAGGUAACAGAAAGCAGACUAAUACACGGGUCUGCUUCAUUCACUCCUACAUCCCAGCACCCACAACAAGGCCUGGGUUGUAAUGGGCACGCAACCCUAUAUCUAUUCAGUGAUUUUUAAAAUCUGUUUGUAUCCUAGUUGAAGAGCUAGUGAACACAACUCAUUUCUAAUAAUUUGUAUUGCCUAAGAAUAAUUUGUGAAUUUAAAGAAAAUUCUAAAUAAGUUUUAAAUUGAAAAGAACCAACCCUAAAUCUUUAUGGAUUUUAACCUUUAAAGAUUUCAGCAGCUCAGGAGCCCUCUGAGGCUGGAGGAUCACCCCUGGGUUCAAUUCCUGGUACAAAAAAAAAAAAAACCCACCAGAUUUCCUAGUAGAUGUUACACCAUGAAUAAACAAAGGAAAUUAGUCCAUGUCUGUGUUUAUUAAAUGCCUAUAAUCACAUUGUUUGCUGAAUAUGAUACUAAAAUCUAAACACUUUGCAAAAUUCUCUGUAAUUUCAGUCUAUUUCUUAACAAAUUUCCUUAAGAAGUGGAAUCAAAAGAGUAGGCUUAUUCAUAGUAAUUGAUCUCAACACUUCAGCUUUAAGUCUUUGGAUUUUAGAGUUUUUUUAAAAAAGGUUCCCAAGACCUUUAAUAAUUAUGAUCAUUAUCAUGUAUCGCAUGAAACUAUCAAUUGUUGAUUGCUUCUUUUGUUCUAAAUAUUAUGCUAAAUGUUUCACAUACUUUACCACAUUUAAACAAUACCAAUUGUCAAUUGCUUAAAGCCAUCCAACUAUACAAGAAAUAACCAGCAUUAAAACCCUGGUUUGUUUGACUCUCAAGUCUGGAAUCUUGUCCAUUCAGUUAGUCUACCCUCCCUAUUUCUGUAGACAAUAACACAGAAAAACUAAAAAAAUUAGAUGAGCUAUUUAGAUCAUUCAACUAGUAAGUAACAGAGCCAGAAAUAUAAUCAACACUUCCAGAUUCUCUCCUCCACAGCAUGCAAAGGCAAAGCACAGGACACAUCGUUGAUUAAAGAUAUUUUUUUAAUCUAUUGAUUGAUUUUUGUGUGUGUAGUGCUGGGAGUCAAACAAGGACCCCACACGGAGCUACAUCUCCAGCCCAAGAUAUUUUUUAAAAUAUUGAAAUUAAAAUUCGACCCCCACAGAGAGAAAACAGGUGGUUACUGAUUCAUGUUCAGUAGUCAGGAUGGGGAUUGUGAGAACAGGAUUAAGGCAUUAAACAGGGGACAUAAUCAUUGAUCCUGGUCCCAAACUAAGCAAACGAAGUGAACCAUUAUCUGUGAAGGUGGUUAGUGAUUAACUGUUACUGUGGCACAGCCACAGCAGAGCACAGAAAGACCUGGUUGGAGCUGAGAGGCAUGAAGGGUGAUUUAAAGAGGAGAGGGCUGUCCUGGGUUGCUCACUGGGUGGAAGGUCUCCUCAGAUCCCUCCAAAGGGCUCUCCCCACAACUUCUCUCUAAACCUUUGAAUCUCCAGCAUCUGAAUGGCUGGGAGCCAGAGGCUCAGGAGUGUCCCAGCCCUGGAUGUUUUCCGGGCUAACCUGACCCUUCAGCUCUGGAAAGCGGCAGGUGCCUUGUCAAUCUCCCUAAGCUGAGACAGAACUAAGAACAAUGGCCUCUUCAGUCCUGGCUCUCCUGGCCAGCUCUCCUCAAGGCCACCUCCCUUCCAUCUAAAUCCCUUUUUAUUGAAGUCAGUUGAAUGCUGUCUUAUCUGCAUUAAGGGGGUUGGGGCUACUUGUGGCCACAAUUAGGUCUUCAAGCCAUCUGGGCAUAGAAAUCUCACUUCAUUCCCAUGUCUCACCAUUCCAACUGGCAUUUUACUUUGAAGUUCACAACUAAUAUUUGGUCAGCAAAGUAUUAAAGGAAAAGAAAGCUAGAAUGGUGCACAACAGUAAAAUACAAGCCGUGUUACACAGGAAGUUCAGCGCAGUACACAUCAUGAUUAAUCAUCAAUCACAAGAGGUGCACUCAAGAGUCUCAGUGCCAAGAGCUGUACUUGUUCCUCUGACUCCCCUUGCUGGUCAAUGUGAAAAGUGACACAGAGAAAAAAUUAUCUGCACACUUCCUAUUCUCUCUUUCCUCAUGUCCAAAUACUUCAAGGUUAACAACAACAAUAGAGAGUGGGGUAGGUGAUGUAGCCAGCAUGCUUCUGGCCCAGCCCUGAAAAAAUUAAAACUAAAGAAAUAGCUUUGUUUUCUAUUUUGGGGGAAGGGUCAGCUCUUCGAGUGGGAAAUGCAAUGAGAUCACUAUUAGGAUGAGGAAACACACCCUCCCUGGUGUGCAAAUUGCACAUCAUUUACUUUCAAGUGCGUCAUAAGAGGGCAAGAUUUAAAUCCACAGUAUCACGGAGUCUAGACAGUCAAUCUCACAACAUUAGCUAGUCAUAGGGCAGUAGGUAAAUGUGACUCAUAUUUGUUGGACAAUCAGAUGAACUGCAAGUGCAAGAGUGCCAUUAAUCCGGUUAUCUCGGUGGAAUGACUUUUUCCAUUUAGAAAGUAAACUCCUGUUAUGAAUAUGUAUUAAGAAAUUUAAAAACUGGCCUUGUACUCAAUUCACACAAUCUGAUGGGAGAGUGACAUGGGGAAUGUGGAACAGCACCUACACAAACUUCUGACAGGUAUACUCACUAGGAUGUUUGGGAAAUACAAAUAAGUACCAGCUGCAACAGCUCAUUGUCAUUUGAAAUUAAAGUAAUCGUUCCUAUGCCCCGGAGCCCCAUCUUUUAAUAGCAGAGAUAUUAGUCUUCGUAAGUCUGCCUGCAUGGACCGUCCCAACACUAGGUCAGCUUCUCAUCGAACCCGAACCUCAUACAUGAAUUCUGUGUAAUCUCAGAAUGAUUUCCUCUCAGUGGUUUAACUUAUCUGAGAAAAUGAACUCAUUUGAGGGUCAUUUUGAGUCUCUACAUCAGCUCUCUGAAGUUCCCCCUUGUCAGUUUUUACAUAUUUCUAAUAAUUUGCAAAAUCAUAUUCUUGUGGCAAUUAUAUUUGCUAUUGAUGAUGGAGAGUGAUGUGUAUAUUCCAGGACACCCAUGAUUAUUCCCUGGUGACAUGGAUCAGUUAGCUAGCACAGAACUGAUUUUCAAAUUUCAGAUCGAUUCUACUAAUUUAAAAAUCUGCCAGUCUUUGCCACAGCUCACUUAUCCUGUGUGGUUAGUAAUGAUUGUAAGUUCUUCUGACAACAUUGGCCAUUCCAAUCUUUAAAGCCUGACUUUUAAAAUAAGCAAGGACAAGGCUAAGGCCUUUGAUGGUGAGAUCAAGCUGGAACAUUGUGUGAGACAGAGGCUUGGAUCUGGAUGCCACAUUCUAAAAGGAUUGUUGCUGAAUAGGAAGAUGAAAAUGCAAAAACAAAACCUGGACAGCAAGGAGACUCCCAGCACUUGAUGCCAAGAAACAGUGAGCCCUCCACCUUCCCCUGUCUUAUCUCUCUUCAUCUGCGGUUUAGUUCUGUGGCCCAUUGCUGCAGCUAACCCUUGCCAAUAGCCUCAUUGCCCUUGCUUCAUUCCAUUCUUCUGUCAUGACUGCCAGGCAAAAGACUGGCGCUGGCUCCUCUCUGCUGAGAUCCCCAGGCUGCUGAGCUUGCAGGAGAAAUUCUACAGCUGAAUUCACUGGUUCCACUGUAGCCUCAUGGUCCCCAGCUUUGACUGGUCCCUCAAAAUAGCAUGGCAGUCAUUUGGCAUUUUCCCUGGUGGUUUGUCUCUCUUUGUCCAUAGUGUUUUACAGAAUUCAACCUCUUUACUUCCUCGGACUUUUGACACCAGCGUAUCACCAACCUGCCUGACAGAUAAAAAUAAUGCUAUUCAGAUAGGAACACCUUCACUUUCCUACCUUGACCAUGGGCAUAAGUGCCUAAUAAUUGACUCUCUGGGGUCAGAAUAUAGGGAAGUCCUGACAUGUGUUUGUUGAUAGCUGUGGUGUAAAAAUUCCCACUGUGGCCAAAUUCCAGCUAUUAAUGCGAUGUGAACCAGCUCAUAAAGUCCCUAAAAUGUAACAACGGGCUUAGUAGGAGCUGGCUCAAGUUCCCACUGCAGAAGCCCAGACUUCAAUGCAUCCCAAGUACCUCCUCUCUUUCCUCUCUUGUUCUCUUCCUGCCUAAGGUAAAUGCCUUCUGCCUUCUACAGUGUCUUGAUCUAUCCAGUUCCCUAAACAUGAGUUCCUUCCAUUCUGAUCUCAAGGAUUUAGGACCCCUUCAAAGUAACAUUUUAAAAUGUGUCACACAAUGUUAUAUUAUUUCUAUUCAAAUUUCUUUUUUUUUUUAACUCAGGCUUUUCUAAUCUUUUUCCCCCCCAGAAAUAUGUAAUGAAAAAAUUGGGCUGGGAUUGUGGCUCAGUGGUAGAGUGCUCGCCUACCAUGCAUGAGGCUCUGGGUUUGAACCUCAGUAUCACAUAAAUGUAAAAUAAAGAUAUUGUGUCCACCUAAAACUAAAAAAUAAAUAUUUAAAAAAAGAAAAAUAAUAGUGAAAAAAUAGACAUAUUUUAAAGAAAAGACACAUCCAUCACCUCCAAGAAUUUGAUGCCAAUUUCAUAAAUUGUAAUUGGAAAGAAAGGUUGGUUAAUUAAUCUUUUCCCUGAACAUCAUAUUUAACAUAAAGUGAAGACUGAGCUACAAGGCACAAUGCUAAAACCUUUACUUUUGUUACCUUAUUUAAGCCCAGGGUGACUUAGCAAGGUAGGAAAUACUGCACUUUUUGUCUUACAGACGAGGAAACCGAGGCUGAGAGAUUAAAUGACUUGGCCAAGGUUACACAGCUAAUGACUAAUGGCAAAUAUUUAGGUUGGCUGACUACAGAAUCCAAAAUCCAUUGUUUGGUGUUUUUAGGAAAAAAAUCAAGGGUGAGGUUAAAUGGCAACUUAAUCUCAUGUUGUUUACCCUGAUAAAUAGCUUUAAACUCUGUUUUAAAUAUUUAUGGCAUCCACUUUGAAUAUCUCCGCUAAUAGAAAAAUAGAAAUAUAUAUUUAUGUGGGUCCCUUGAGAAACACGGUUGCUUCCUAACCACGAAUUUCAUGGCUAUUGGUUUCAGAUUAGCAUGAUUGUCACAGGAUAGACAGAAUGGGACAUUCAAUAGGGGAAAAGAGCUGCUUAACAGUUCAAUAGAUAAUCAAAAAUCCCUUCCUAUAAUUUCCUUCCCAUAAUUCUAGAUACACAAGGCUAAACUAUGUCUUAUCUUUGUUUUGGGGGGGAGGCGUGUACCAGGGAUUGAAUUCAGAGGCACUCGAACACUGAUCCACAUCCCAGUCCUAUUUUGUAUUUUAUUUAGAGACAGGGUCUCACUGAGUUGCUUAGCUCCUCACCCUUGCUGAGGCUGGAUUUGAACUCAUGAUCCUCUUGUCUCAGGCUCCCAAGCCACUGGGAUUACAGGUGGGUACCACUGUGCCUGGCUUAUCUUCAUUUUUGUAAUGAUUUCAUUAUUGGUAUUUACAUGCCUGGCUCAUAGUGAACACUUGCUAAAUACCUAUUGAAUAGACUGAUGUGUUUGCUACAUAUGUUGUGGAACUCUAUUACCUUUAGUUCUGGAAGGCUGGACCUGCAAAAAAAGAAAUUUGGGGUAGAAGAGUGCCAAGGAACACUGGGCAUUGCAAGCCUAGGAAUCUGGACAUAUCAUCUGGUUAACUGCUUUCUAACUGCUUCAGCAGUAUCAGUCUCAUUUCCUUCACCAGAUUUCAAGCAAGUAUUUAUUGCCAUUUGAUUCUUUUCUUCCCCCAAUGAUUUAUUUUAUUUUAUUUUUAUUUAUUCCUUUAUUUUUAUUUUUAUUUGUUCUAAAUAGUUAUACAUGACAGUAUAAUGCAUUUUGACUCAUCAUACAUAAAUGGAGUUUAACUUCUCAUUCUUCUCUUUUGAUUCUUAUAUAAGCCCCAUAGAAUGUACCCUAAUGCUGGUCUUUAGUAGAUAAUCUAUUCAAAGGCUCCUCACAUUCUUUUAUAAAUGGUAUUGGUUUAAUAAGUAUUUGUUAAUAUGUUCAUUAAAAUCAUUUUCAUUUGAUAAAUUUUGAUGGGAACUACCAACAGCUGCUUUCCUUUUACUAUUCAUAAAUUGCAAUUUUAUUUUUUCUCAAGGUCAACACCAGUGUAGUAAAUAAUUUUUAAUUUUAUAUUUAGAUUUUUAAGCCUGAUAAAUAUGUUCUAUAUAAUAGUAUUUUAAAAAAUUACUCUGAUCCAUCUUCAAGUUUAUAUAUAUUUUUACUUCUAUUUUUUUGGUUUUGGUAUUGGGGACUAAAUCUAGGAGCACACAAACACACACACAAAAAAAAAGAAAGAAAGAAAGAAAGAAAAGAAAAAAGAAAGAAAAAGAAAAGAAAGGAAACAAGCAAAAAGAAACUGUAUCCAUUAUCAGUUACUUUUCUCUCCUUCCCCUGUAUCCUGGCAACCACUAAAAUACUUCCUGUCUCUGCAGAUUGACCUAUUCUAGACAUAACAUACAAAAUCAUAUAAUAGGUGACAUUUUUGUCUGAUUUUUUUUUUUGUUUUUACCUAGCAUGAUAUUUUCAAGGUUCAUUCAUGUUGCAUCACUUAUUAUUAGGACCAAAUAACAUUCCAUUGUAUGGAUAAAUCACAUAUUGUAUAUCUGAUUAUCAGUUGAUGGAUAUUUUAAAAUUAGGUUAUUUAUAUUUUUAUAGAAGAAUUGUAAAGGUUUCUAAAUAAAUUCUAGAUGUACAUCUCUAAUUAUGUGACUUUAAAGUAUUUUCUUUAAAGAUAUGUGACUUUAAAGUAUUUUCUCCUAUUUAUUAUGUGGGUUUUCUUUUUCUUUUCUGCCACAUUGGGGAUUGAAGCUGGCGUGCUUUUACCACUAAGCUACAUUCCCACCCCAAUUUAUUUUUUGAUUUUGAGACAGGGUCUCUAAGUAGCUGAGACUGACCUCAAACUUGCCAUCCUCCUGUCCUAGGAUUAUAGGUGAGGGCCACCAUGCCCAGCUUCUUUUAUUUUCCUUCAUAGUGUCCUUUGCCAACUAAAACUUUUACUCUUUUUUUGUAUUGUCACUUUUUUAAAAAAAAAUUCUUUUCUUAGUUGUAGUUGGAAAAAAUACCUUUAUUUUAUUUAUUUAUUUUUAUGUGGUGCUGAGGACCGAACCCAGUGCCUCUCACGCGCUAGGUGAGUGCUCUACCACUGAGUCACAACCCCAGCCCCUGUAUUGUUUACUUUUUUUAUGUUUCUUUUUUCCACAUUUUUAUUGGUGCAUUAUAAUCAUAUAUAAUUAUGGAUUUUUUGUUACAUAUUCAUACAUGCAUACAAUAUAACAAUAUAAUUUGGCCAAUAUCAAAACUUUUACUCUUGAUGAUGUAGAUUUAAACUUUUGAUAAAGUCACUUUAUCUUCUUAUUCUCUUGCUUAUACUCUUUUUUUAUAUAUAACUUUUUUUUUGUUUAUUUAAUUUGUUUACGUGGUGCUGAGAAUCGAACCCAGUGCCUCACACAUGCUAGGCAAACGCUCUACCUCUGAGCCACAACCCCAGCCCUCUCUUGCUUAUACUCUUGGUGUUGUAUCUAAGAAACCAUUGUCUAAUACAGGGUCACAAAGAUUUAUUCUGAAAUUUCUUCUAAGAGUCUUAUAGUUUUAGCCUUACAUUUUGGUCUUGGUUGUAGUUUGAUUCUUGAAUGUCUCCCAAAGGCCCAUGUAUUAAAGGCUUAGUUCCCAGGGGUGGCACACUUGGGUGAGUGGAACCUUUGAGAGACAGGGCUUAGUAGAAAAAUCUUAUGCCAUCACAGGUUUGCCCUCAAAGGAGGUUAUGAGACCUUGGUCUUCUUCUCUCUCUCUUUGUUCCCUGGCUUGCAAAAGGAGAGGUUUUACUCUACCAUGCACUCCUACCAUGACGUGCUGCCUCACAUUAGGCCCCAAGCAACAGGUCCCAUUGAUCACAGACCAGACAUUCAAAACUGUGAUCUCAAAUAAACCUUUUAUCUUCAUAAGUUAAUUAUUUCAGGUACUUCAUUAUAGUGACAGGAAGCCAACAGUCUUUAAUUCAUUUUGAGUUAAAUUUUUGUAUACAGUGCAUAUGCUAGUAUUUAAAAAUCUUCAUAUAAGCUCACAGCAAAUACAGUUAACCUUAACAACAACAAAAAUACAUAUUAAUCAAGGGCUAGAUCAAGUAGAGCCUUGCCUAGCAUGCAGGAGACCUUGGAUUCAAGAUCAGUACUACAAAAGCAAAUAAAUAAAUAAACAAAUAAUAUAAUUUAGUUAUUGUGCUAAGAACAUAGCUCAGUGGCAAAGUGCUUGCCUAGCAUGCACAAGGCUCUGGGUUCAAUCCUUAGUACUUAAAAAAUAAAAUAAAAUAAAAUCCUGAAUUUCCCUGUCCUGAGAAUAAUAAAUGAAAGUAUGACAUAAAAUUACUUUGUAUAUUACAUUAAACUUGGUAACUUUUUCAAAGCAUUUGCUUAAUUCUUAUUUGCAUUUUACCUUCUAUAAUAUCCUGAGAAGUAACAGGAAUUUUGAUAAGCCUAUAGUGCAAUGUCAUCUAUAUUCAGAAAUGUGGCCAAUUUUGAGCUGUUCUGUCCAAAACAAGAAAAAAGAGGGAAUGAGCAACAUUAGAGAUAGCUCCUUAUUCAUUAAUUGAUAUUUGAAAGUUUACUCAAAGCAGAGUCAUGUCAAGAAACUUAUUCUCCCCAAAUUUAUUGAAUACCUUUCAUGAACACACAUUUCAACUUGAAAGUAUUAUUGUUGUUUUUAUUUGUUUGAGUGCUGGGGAUUGAACCCUGGACCUUGCACAUGCUAGGCAAGCACUAUACCACUGAGGUCUGCUCCAAUCCUCAUUUGAAAGUAUUCUAACAACAGUACAAACUCUAUACCCAGAGAAAUGGAGCAGACCAUGCAGGAUUCAAGAAAAGAACAAAGACAGAUAAAACUGGUUUGCCAUCCAUGGGUCCCUGGGUCUGAAACAACCAGAGAGCUCUGUAGCAAUUCCAUUUUCUGUAGGGUUUAAAGUCCAAAGCACAGAACUGAUUUUUUAAAGUGAAAACACUUAAAAUAAUUGGAUAAAAUGCAUUAAAGGUAUGGACUCUACAAUUAGUAUUGCUUAUUUUCCAGAAUCAUAUUUUUAUAUUAAUCCUAUAUUAAAUUCAUGAUAAAAUUGACAUGAUAAAAAAGCACAUUCUCCUAGAGAAGACAUUUUUUAAAAAUUAAUUAACAGAAACUAGAGUGGAGAGGUUCUGCACAGAGACUGAAGCAGAAACUAUUUUUAAAUUUUCAAAGAAGUUAAAAAGUUUAGCUGUGGGGCAUUGGUGACUUUCUGAAAUAUAAUUUACUUCAUACUGUCAUAUGCCCUUCCAGAACUGCUCUUUCAUCCUUGAAAGAAAAAUCUCUUUCAGUAAUUUAGAGGUGAGAACAUUCUGAUAGGGCACACAUACCAAAUCACAGGUGGUGUUCUGGUUCUCUGGAAACAGUGGCUCCCCAUCUUUUCUCACCUUUGACAUUCAGGUUGAAUAUUAAGAAUGUGUUAUUAUUGCCAGGUACAGUGUGGCACACCUAUAAUCUUAGUGGCUUGGGAGGCUGAGGCAGGAAGAUUGUAAGUUCAAAGCCAGCAUCUGCAAUUUAGUGAGACCCUAAGCAAUUUAGUGAGACUGUUUCAUAAUAAAAAAUUUUAAAAGGGCUGAGGAUGUGAAUCAGUGGUUAAACAAACACCUUGGGUACUGGUUAAAUCCCCAGCACCCCCAAAAUGUGGUGUUAUUAUUAGGGGUUUUUUCUCCUUUGGGUUGACAGCAAUAUGACAAGACUGUGGAAGCAAGUCAGCUAUCCUGGGGACGAUCACCCUAGGUUUUCUUGCCAAGCGAAGAUUGGUGAGUGUGUUUUUCUUUGGAGUCUCUGAAACCCUAUUUGGUAACAUUAACUUUUUGUGACGUGGGAAUAUACUGUGCCUGUGCUUUUCAAAUUGGGGUACCAAUAUGAGCACUGUGGUGACAGGGAUUGUCUUAUUACCGCCAUAUCCCCAAUGUCUGGAAUUCUGUCUUGCAUAGUGUUUCAUAAAUAAAUAUAGAAUAAAAUAGAAGAGGAAGGGGGAGGAGGGAAAGGAAGAGAAGGAGAAGGGGAGAAAGAAACGGAAGAGGAAACAGGAGGAAAAAGUAGUGAAGAAUUAGUAGUAGGGGAACGGAAAGAAUAACUAGACACCACAUUACAAGGAGUAUGAUGGUAAAGCAGGAGAUAUGCAAAUAAUUGACAAGUAUAAUGAUAUUGGGGAGGAUCAAUUUUACUCAAAUAAUUGACAUGAGGAGAAUGCUAUGUUCAGAUAAACAGGUAUGUGAGAGGAAGGUGCAAAAUUUGCAUUAGACCAUGAGCUUAUUCCUUCUCCCACAGGUUGAUAUACCCUCAACUCUGGAAGGAUUCAAAGUAACCACUUGGCCGCAUCAGCUGUAUCUGGUGUUCAAAUCCAGGAGCUGGCAAACUUUUUCGGAAAAGGGUCAGAUAGUAAAUAUUUUAGGCUUCAGGGGAUGUAGUUUAUCACAACGGCUCCACUAUGCUGUUGUAGCACAAUAUAUACAUUUUAAAUAACUGUAUAGUUGUAUGGCAAGAAAACUUUGCUUAUAAAAAGAGGUUGAGGGGCCAGGGUUGGGGCUCAGUGACAGAGCGCUUGCCUAGCAUGUGGGAAGCACUGGGUUCAAUCCCUGACACCACAUAAAAACAAAUAAAGGGUUGUUUUUGUUUAAAAAAAAAGAAAAAGAAAAAGAGGUCGAGGACCAGUCUGGGCCUGUGGGCUGUGGUUUGCUGACUGGUACCGAAGUAGGGCUCUUUGCCCUCCUGCCCACCAAUACUUUGCUAUGAACAUUCUAUUUUUAUUAAUGCACCUCUAUCUAUAUGUCACUGUUAAUAAUAUCAUUAACUAAGGUUUAGCCCUAAAGCUCUUUCACGGUGCUGCCAUUUAAUGAGGUCUCCUUUGCUCUUUAUUUUAAUGGUUAAGGUUUUUCAUCACUGUUAUAGUAUAUCUCUGUGCCUUUCAUUAUCAUUUUAGGUCCACUGUACCUAAAACGUUCUCUUCUUUACUGUUCUGUAAGCUCCUUGAAGCUUUUGACAACCUAAAUAACAGAGAUUCUCCAAAAUUAACAUAUGUAUUUGGGAGUAGCAAGCACUGCCAUGAGACUCUGUGUGCCAUAGUAAACUGUGUGUGUGUUCAAAGAGGUUGAAGCAAGGAAAAAGGCAAAUUGAGGAGGAUUACAAAAGUUAUUUUGAAACAGUAAUCCUUGGUUACAAGGAUCAAUAACAGGGUAGUGUUAGUCCAAGGUUGCCGGGCAGAUGUCCUGGCGAAGGACUAUUUGUGUAAGGUUGCAGCGGCCUUUGUGCAAGGUUGUGGUCCUGGCGUCUCUUGUGAUAGAUCUUAUUAUCAGACAUAUGUGUAUGAGAUCUCCUCCUUACUCACCACCCGACUUAUUCAUUUAUUUAUUUAUGUUUGGUUCGGGCUUGACGCAAAUGACUUCAUUUUGGUUUUGACCAUUUUUACACUUCUUAAGAUUGUUAUAUUUUUCCAGAAUUUUUCUUCUAUGGGAACAUUGAUCUGAAAAAUGUAGCCAGCCAUUGCAAGAAAGCGAAAAUCUAUCCAAUUCUGAAAAGAAAACAGAACUGAAAAAAGUCAACCAGAGGCCUGAGGCUGUAGCUCAGCAGUAGAGUACUUGCCUAGCAUGUGUGAGGCCCUGGGUUCAAUCCUCAGUACCCAUGUAAACAAACAAACAAACAAACAAAUAUUGUGUCCAUGUAUAACUAAAAAUAUUAAAAAAAAUAAAUAAAGCCAGCCAGAGCCUGAGAAGAUAAUUCAAGGUGGAAAACGAACUUCACUGUUUGGGAGGCCACAUGGCAGGCCCUGCAGUGUGCUGUGAGGGGGGACCAUGAGGUGGGCCCGGCGGGGGCAUGUAUGUGAGGUUAUGGUGAGGACAGUGAGAGGCUCCUAGGAGUUUCUGGCUACAGGAGAAUUUUAAAUAAUGGAGACUUAGAAAUAAGAGAUACUCUGUACUUGGACACGGACCCUCUUAAAUGUUUAGAAGAAUAAAGAAUAAAAUUUCUGUGGGAUGUGGUGGCACACACCUAUAAUCCCAGGGACUCGGGAUGCUGAGACUGAAGGAUCAAAAGUUUGAAGUUAGCCUUAGCAACUCAGUGAGGUCCUUAGCAAUUAGUAAGACCCUGCCUCAAAAUUUAAAAAAAUUAAUAAAUAAGAAGAGCUGGGGAUGUAGCUCUGUGGUAAAGUGCUCCUGGGUUAAAUCCCCAGUACACCAAAACAACAACAACAAAAAACCAUAAGAGUAAAAUUUCUGUCUUGACUGCCUUUUUUUAAAUUAAUUUUUUAUUUAUAUAUGACAGUGGAAUGCAUUACAAUUCUUAUUAUACAUAUAGAGCACCAUUUUUCAUAUCUCUGGUUGUACACAGAGUAUAUUCACACCAAUUUGUGUCUUCAUAAAUGUACUUUGGAUAAUGAUGUCCAUCACAUUCCACCAUCAUUUCUAAACCCCUGUCCCCUUCCCUACCCCUCCCACCCCUCUGCCCUAUUUAGAGUUUGUCUAUUCCUCCUAUGCUCUCCCUCCCUACCCUACUAUGGUGACUGCCUUUUAUAAAACAAUGUCCUUCUGUGAUUGUACCACAGAAGUCACUGCUUUAUAAGCCUUAUCUGUCUGUACCUGUUUACUACAGUUGAUGAAGGAACAGGAAGGGAUGUAGGACACAGGACAGAAAAGCAGAGUCACAAACAGCAAGGCCUUAGAAGGCAUAUCUCAUUUCAGUAGUAUUAAGCACCUCUAUCAGUGCGGGGAGGUAAACAGUUGAAUGAACUGUGUCCUCUGUUCUCUAGGGGGUCACUGUCCAGUGAUAAGAGAGAACAAUGAAUCAUUAAGUAAUUCAGAUACAGUCCAGAUGUAACCAAGGCUUACUGAGCAUCUAUGAGAUGCUUUCUAAGAAGGAUAAAAGCUGUCCCUGUUAUCCAGCUAGGCCAGUCUAUGCUCCUGUUGGACAUAAUUUCACAGAACACCAACACCACUAACACCGGUCAAGGUCACUCUGAGAUCAUGAGGAAGUGAGAAAAACAAGACCACUUCAUAGUUUUGUUUAAAUACAGACAAAAACAAGGUCACACUGUAACUAUAAAACACCAAAUAACUCCUUUUACAGUUAAUAGGGGUCACUGCAGAUUCAUUACCUUUAGAAUUUUAGCCUCCCUUAGAGGGAGUCUGCCCUCCUUUUAGUAAAUAUUGAGAUACCCUGUCAUAGAUUGUCCUUGCAUCCUGAAAGUAUCAAUCCAGAGUAAACCCCUGUGUCCUUGGACCCUCUCACAAGAGCUCCAACCAUGAUCUGAAUCCAAUAAUAAGUGCUUCCUAACACCCUCUUAUCCAAGUGCUCACAGUUCCCCACAGGGUACACACUGCAGAGGAGUAAUACACCCAACUGGAUCUGCUGGAGGUGUGCUCCUGGUGGGCUUUGACUGGAGGCCAUUGUGUUUCAAAUAUAUCGUUUAAUUUAAUGUUCAUUACAAGAGCAUAAACUUGAAUUUAUGGAUAACCUAAAGGUUAAUUUAAUUCAGAAUUACAAACAGAAAUAGACAAAGCUGGGGUUUGAACACAGGCCCUCUGAAUGCUUUCUCCCAAUGAAUGACUGAAGACAGGAAGUGAGAUAGAAAAUAAAAGAAGUCCAAAACAAGACAAAAACACCCAAUUUAACUGCCACUGUCAUGGAGAAACAUCUCCACUUUGUAAAAUUUUAUAAUACAUAUUUUAAGCCAAUUGAAUUUUGAGACUAUGGGAGAUCAUUCAGGUAAAACCAAAGUUUAAGAGAAUACAUUUCAUUUGCUCCAUAGGCAAAAUAAAAUUAAGCUAUUAAAUUGAAAAUCAUAGUUAUGAGGAAAGAAAUGCUUUUUGUCAUCUAUCAUACAUUUUUUUUCCCCCUGAGAGGGAACUCUACUGCAUCCUCUCCUUUAGAAUCAUGUCCUCCCUACAGCUGAGUGAAGAGCUCACAGACUGUAGGUUUCCUCUGUGUCAAGGAACUUUUGGGUACCUGAAGGAUAAGAGUGGGAGCCCUUCCACUGAAUAUCCCCUUUUAUUUAAAAAAAAUUAAAACCACCAUUUGAAUAUAUUACUAAUAAAAUAAAAAAUUAAAAUUUGUAAGGUCUGCCAGUAUGGUGGCACAUGCCUAUAAUCCCAGGGACUCGGGAGGCUAAGGUAGGAGGAUGGCAAUUUCAAAGCCAACCUUAGUAACUUAGUAAGACCCUGAAUAACUCAGUGAGACCCUAUUUCAAAAAGUAAUAAUAAAAGGGCUAGAGAUGUAGCUAAUAGUUAAUCACCCCCGGGUUAAAUCCCUAGUGUCUGGGUUUGAGGUUGUAACUCAGUGAAUAGUACAGACUUAGUAUGGGCAAGGCCUGGGCUUUAUACCCAGGGCAAAAAGGUAUUAAAGGUCAAAAAUAAAUAUGCAUAAACAUCCCUUUCAUUGUUUAAAACACAAGUAGAAUCCGCAAUUAAGUAUUAUAUAGAAUACAAAGAAUUCUCAUUUAUCAAGUGUAAUUGGCUCAGAUUGCUUACAUGUGAGACUGCAGCAGCAGUAAAAAACCAAAAACAAAAAAACAAAAAAAAACAUUGAUGAAGGAUAGCUCCGUUAAGAAGAGACAGAGCAAGGCUGGGUGCUGUGGCGCAUGUCUAUAAUUCUAGUUUCUCAGGAGGAGGAGGCAGAAGGAUUGCAAACUUGAGGACAGCCAGGGCCACUUAAUGAGCCCCAGGUUCAAAAUACAGAAUGAAAAGUGCUAUGGAUAGCCCAGUGGUAGAGUACCUCUGGUUCAAUCCCCUGCACAGAAAAAAGAAAAAGAAAAAGAAAAAAAUUAAAGAAAAGAAAAGCAAGAAGGGGAUGGGGAGGGAGGGAAACAAAUCGAGAAAAACAAAAAUUAAAAAAGACAAGGAGUUAGAUAUAAUAUAGAAUGGAAGAAGGCAAGCCUUCAUGCUGCAGCAAUGUGCAUAUAGCAGUGUGAGUUCAGCAAUCCUAAUAAUCAUGUCUGCUCUUUAGAUUUCUAGAAAACAUUUCCUUAGUCACUUGAAAGAACAUUAUAAUUCUAAAUUUAAAACAAGGUAGUUUUGGCAUAUUGGCAUAUGGAGUAAACACUGUACCUACACUGACAUACUUCAAUGUUAAAACAUUAUUUUUUAUAUACCGAAAAUUCAAAUCUAAUUGGGCAGUCCCUAAAUUCUCUGGCAACCCUAACUAUACAUCCAUUAAAAAAAAGAAAAAAUCAAUGACUACUUGUCAAUUUACCAGCAGAUGGCUCCCCAAAUCUAGUUUAGUAUAAAAUAGUAUGUUCAAACCUAGUAAUAGAUCAUUUCGUUUUGGGGUUUUUGUUGUUUUGAGUGAUUACUUGAUUAAUUUGGUCUGUUUGAAUUUGUUUUUUGGAAGGAGUGGAUUUUUUUUUAGUUAUAGAAAAUAUUAAAUAUGCCUUUUCACUCUUCAUGAUCCUUUUUGCUUAUUAAUUAAGACACAAUAAUUAUAUAUUUGUGGGGUACAGUGAUAUUUCAAUAUGUCUACAAUGUAUAAUGAUCAAUGAGGGUAAUUAGCAUUUAUAUUUUACAAUUUCUUUAUAUUUGGAGAUUUUGAACACCUUUUCUAAAUCUUCUCAAAUUUAAUAGAUUAUUAUAAACUAGUCACCCUAUUGUGCUAAAGAAUACUAGAAUUUAUUCUUUGUAUCUAACUGUAUUUUGGUACUCAUUAUCCAACUUCCCUCUAUCCCCCAACCACUACUCUUACUAAUCUCUAAUAAUCACUAUUCUACUCUUUUCUCUUUUGAAAUCAACUUUUUUAGGUUUCAAAAUUGAGAGACAAUAUACAGUAUUUGUCUUUCUGCACCUGAUUUAUUUCACUUAACAUAAUAUCCUUCAGUACCUUCCAUUUUGCUGCAAAUGAUAGGCUUUUAUUCUUUUUUUUACAGCUGAAUAAUAUUUCAUUGUGCAUAUAAGCCACAUUUUCUUUAUCCAUUUAUAUGAUCCUUAACUUAAAAAUUAAAAAAGGAACCAUAAUUUAAUUUGUUAUUUUUCUAUAUUUACACAAGCAUUUAAAUGUUAGUGCAGCAUGUAUAAUUUCAGUAUAAGGUGAGCUGACAUUUCACAAAAGAAUCCUAUACCUAUUAGAUUAUGUGUGCUGAGUAUUAGGGAGAGAUCCUCCAUAAAAAUCAUACCUUCACCUUUUUCAUGCAGUGAAUGCAAUUUAAAUACCAGGAUAUUUUUAAAAAAUAUUUAUUUUUUAGUUUUAGGUGGACACAAUAUCUUUAUUUUAUUUUUUUUAUGUGGUGUUGAGGAUCGAACCCAGGGCCCCGCGCAUGCCAGGCGAGCGCGCUACUGCUUGAGCCACAUCCCCAGCCCAAUACCAGGAUAUUUUGUUUUGACCCCCAAACAUACCUAGUGCUUCCAAAGGAAUUAUUGAUUCAACAGAAUUUUUAGACUUAUUACAGUUUUGUCAACUUUUGCCAAUGUCAGAAUGCCUCCAGAGACAAAGGAACGUCGACUCCAGUGCUCAUUAAUCCCUGACAAUAAAUAAUAAACAAUUAAGUUGUAGUUCCAAUAUUUCUAUUAAUAUUGAAGUAUCAUUAUAUUUGGAUUUUUUCAAACCUCUACCUAUAGCAUUCAAUUUUUAGUUCCUUGAUUAAAAAAAAAAAAUCCUUCAAAGGAAGUAUAGGAGUCUGGUGGUGGUAGAACACUUGCCUAGCAUGCACUAGGCCCUGGGUUUGAUCUCCAUGGAAGAAAAGAAAGUUCAGAGAAACCAAAAAUAUCCUAUAAUAAUGGUUUUCCUGUGUUGGAAACAAAUUAGGCUAGAAUGUUCUGAUACAGUAUAGAAGGCACUAUUUUCAUGUGGCAUUCACAGUAAGAAUAUACGUGGCACUCCACACGCUGUCUCUAUUGUGCUUGUAUUCUGUGCCCCAGGAGUCUGCUCUGAAUAGAUGCAUCAAAGGGCUCCCUUACUCUCAGGCUGAGGGUCAGUUCAGCCAAAAUAAGCUACUGCAUCUUCUAGAGAUUGGAAACAGUGAGGUCAGAAAUGUUUCUCUAGCUCACUCCCUACCAGAGAGCUGCCAUGAGCUGGCUGCAAACAUCAAACUUCUACUGAGAGCCACAGGUUCCAUCUGGUGGUCUGGUCUGGUCUUGUCUUCCUCUCCCCUCCCUUCCCCUCCUCUACUCUCUUUUCCUGUCUUUCUUAUGAUGGGGAGUGAACCCAGGGGCUCUCUAGGACUAAGAUACACCCCCAGCUCUUUUUGAAACAAAGUCUCAGGGUCUCCCUAAAUUGCCCAGGCUGGCCUUGAACUUGAGAUCCUCCUGUCUCCACUUCAGAGUAGCUGGGAUUAUAGGCAUAUGCCACUGUGUCAGGGAACUGAUGGUGUUUUCUAAACAAAACUUUUUCUUUCCCCAAAUUUGGGCUAGGGCUUCUUGUUUAUUCCAUGGACCUUUUUUAUAUAGCUGUAUCACUACACUGUAUUAUAAUUUUCUGCCUACCUUUUGCAAAUCUAGGAAAUUUGUCUUCUAUUUGUCUUGGUGUGGAGUAACACACAGUAAGUUUGAUAACUUUUUAAUAAUUAAAAAGAGUAUUCUAAGCCAGGCUUGGUAGUGAAGGUCUGUGAUCUCGGGAAAUGGAGACAGGAAGAUUAUAAGUUCAAGGCUAGCCUGGGCAACUUAGACUUUCUCAAAAAAUCAAGAAGCCCAAGUUCAAUUCCCAAUAAUGCAAGGAAAAUACAAAACAAAACAAAACAAAAAAAAAAAAAGAAAAGAAAAGAAGGAGAGGCCAUUUUCAAGUGAUGCCUGAUCUCAUCAAUCUAGCGGGAGAGACGGGAUAACCUGUCUGAGAGCCUAGUGCCACUAGUGCUGAAAAACCACUAAAAAAAUAAUCACCAAAAAUAACUUGGAGCAAAAGACAAUCUGCAAAGCUUCACCAGGGUUGACGCAGUGGGUUUUGACCUUUUGGAGAGAGCCAAUUCCGGAAAACAACCUAACUUCUUUAUUGAAUACACACAUAAUGCUUUGGAACAUGAUAGGAGAUUAAGGUUUAAUAAUGACAAAAUGAAGACCACAAUAAAACAGCCCCCUACUAGCCCAGGAAUUCUUACUUUGAAAAUGAUAGAAUGAAUGAACCAAGAUCACCAUACAGCUCUUGAACUAAUUUUAGAUAUAAAAGGUGGAUAUUACUAUCCUUCCUCAUGGAAAAUGUUUUAUUCUAAGUGUUGUUUCUCAUUGAGUAUUAUCAAAAAGGAGAAAAAUUAUUGUCCUAAAUUUUUGAGAUAGAUUUGGCAAUAGUAAGUAUUUAGAUAUGUUACAUAUCUGAGAGAAGAAGUAAGAGAUCAUCAUGUAUUCUUAUCUACUAAAAAGUUUUUUUUUUUAAAUAUAUUUUAUUUACAUUUUAGUUUUCAGCAGACACAACAUCUUUGUUUGUAUGUGGUGCUGAGGAUCGAACCCGGGCCGCACCCAUGCCAGGGGAGCAUGCUAUGGCUUGAGCCACGUCCCCAGCCCCCUAAAAAGUUUUAUUUUCUUAUUUUUAUCAAAGGAUUUUUUUUAUAACUUGUUACUAAUAGCUUGAGCCUCUUUAAUGCAGAACUAACUCCCUCACCAGAACUAAGGUUCUCACCUUGUUUAUUUUAUAAAAUACAAUCCAGGUAUUUCUAUUCUUUCUCUCUUUUUUUUCCUUUUCCUCUUUUUUUUCUUUUCUUUCUUUUUUUUUACAUUGUUCAAAAUCAAGCCCAGUGCCUCAUACUAGGCAAACACACUACCCCUGAACUACAUUCCAGCCCUCUAAUAUUUUUUGAGGCUGUAUGCGAUGAAAAAUAUUUUGAUGAAAUGAAUGUUUAAAUCUUUUAAGUUAUGAUUACUGUGUAAUAUGACUAGUUAGUUGCUGGUUUUUAUUUUUAUUGUGCUGAAAUUAAAUGCAACAUUUGUAAUUAAAAAAAAAAGGAGGAGGAGGAAGAGGAGGAGGAGAAGAAAGAGGAGGAAGAGGAAGAAAGGAAGAGAGUAUUUGACCAAUUAUAAUAGAGGUUUCAAAAUUGCAUCUUUUUUUUUUGUUUGUUUGUUUUUUGCUUCCGUUGGGUAAAAACUUAAUUUGUAAUGGGGUCACCAUACUAAGGACAUUAUAAAUAGGUGGCAUCUAUUAAAAAAUUUUAUUUUAUCUAGUUACAUUGAUCAAUGCAAAAUAGUUCAUCUGGACAGGGAAAUAUUCAUUUUAGACCUUAAAUUUAAUUUAAGCCAACAGUAGACACUGAUCGAAUUAUCAAGAAAAUUGACCACAGCUCACUUUUUAUGAGUGUAUAAAUACAGCCCUGGAAUAAGAAUGGGAAUUUUUAGUAUUUUAUAGUGUUUAAAAUUUAUAGUUUCUUGAAGAUUUGAUAGGAAUUUUUCCUUAGUAUGAGGUAAACACAUAAUCUUCCAUUUUUGGGGGCUCCCUUAAUAAAAUCUAUUUUGUUUUAGAAAAUUUAAUAUAUAUUUUGUUGUUGUUGUAGGUAAAUAUAUCAGUUUGUAUUUGGGUUUCACAACACUGGAAUUUCUCUGAGAAGAUCCAUCUUAGGUUGAGUCAGGCUAAUCAAUUUAUUGAGGAAAAAUCAUUGGCAAAACAAAGAGGGUAAGAGGGGGUCAAGCAAAACCAUAUUACCAUUCAUUAUUUACACAUAAUUAGAAAUAUGGUCAAUAUUAUUAAAUUUUAUUUGUCCUUUUUAGUUAUACAUGAUGGUAGAAUAUCUUAGUUUUUGAAAAUGGGAUAUUUCUUGAUAGAAAUAAGACCACAAUCUGCAAGGAGCCAUAAAUGGCAAUUUUGCACUUGAAAUAUGGUACAUCCAACUUGAGAUUAGUGCAAAAAUAUGAUGUAAAAUAUCAUUAACUUAUAAAAUAUUGAUUACAAACUGAAAUAAAUUUUUGAUAUAACUGGUUAAAUAUAUUAUCAAAAUAAAAAAAGACCACAAUAUCCUUUAGUAAAAUGUCUGAUACCUGCACUGAAAAUAGGUAUUUUAAAACUUAUUUAAACAGCAUGUCUAAUACAUUCUGAAUAGCUUGUCAUUUUAUCAAAAACAAUGAAAAAUAAUCAUUAGAGAAACAUAAAUUAAAAUAAUAUACUUUUAAAGAUUUUUAACCAUAAAUAUAUGAUGAAACACUUUUUUUAAAAGUCACAUUUCAGUUAGAUGUGAAAGAGCUUCUGGAAUGACCGAAGACCUUUGCAAAUCUGACUCUCCAUAAAAUCAGUAAGACCUUUGCUGUGAAGAAGAUCUUUAGUUUGAAUGUCUUGUUUUUUGCUUCCUUUGGGUAAAAACUUAAUUUGUAAUGGGGUCAUCAUACUAAGGACAUUACAAAUAGGUGGCAUCUAUUAAAACUCCUAUUUAUUGAUUGUUGAUUUUACUUCUUGUGCUUUAGGAGUCUUGUUAAGGAAGUCAGUUCCUGAGCCAAUAUGUUGGAGUUUGGGUCUAUGUUUUCUUCUAAUAUGGCAGGGUUUCUGGUCAAAUACCUAGGUCUUUGAUCCACUUUGAGCUGAGUUUUGUACAGGAUGAGAGAUAGGAGUUAAAUUUCCUUCUACCACACAUGAAUUUCCAAUUUUCCCCACACCAUUUGAAAAGGCUAUCUUUUCUCCAAUGUAUGUUUUUGGUACAUUGGCAUAUAUCCAAAGGAUUUAAAACCAGUAUUCUGCAGUAACACAGCCACAUCAAAGUUUAUAGCAGCUCAAUUCACAAUAGCUAAGCUAUGGAACCAACCUAUGUGCCCUUCAACAGAUGAAUGGAUAAAGAAAAUGUGUUAGAUAAACACAAUUGAAUAUUACUCAGCCAUAAAGAAGAAUGACUUUAUUUUUCAGCAAAUGAAUGGCUCUAGAGACUAUCAUGCUAAGUGAAAUAAGCCAGUCCCCAAAAGCCAAAGGUCAAAUGUUUUCUCUGCUAUGUAGAAGCUAACCCACAAUAACGGGAGGGGAGUUGAGGGGAAGAAUAGAAGUUCAGUAGAUUAGACAAUGGGGAAUAGAGGAAAGGGAGUGGAGAAGGAACAGAAAAAAUGGUGGAAUGAAUCCGAUAUAAUUUUCGUAUAUACAUAUAUGAAAACAACAUAUGUACAUCCAUAAGAAUGGAGUCCUAAUUAGAAUAAAAUAUAUUCCAUGCUUGUAUAAUUAUAUCAAAAUGGAUUCUGCUGUCAUAAAUAACUAAAAAAAAAAAAAAAUGAAUUUUAAACAAAAAAUCUAGUACAACCAAUGAAAAUUAUCAAUAAUUUUUUUUCAGAACUAUGAAAAUUAACCAAAAGCUUGUAAAAAGUUGAGUAGUAAACAAAAACAAAACCUGCUUAGCCUUAGUUUGUGGCACUGCAACUUGACCUACUCCAUUAUUGAUUCUGGGCACUUAAAGCCAUGCUGGAUAUGGUGGUACAUGCCUGAAAUCCCAACUCGGAAGGCUGAGGCAGGAGGUUCGUGAGUUCAAAGCCAGCCUCAGGAAUUUAGUGAGGCCUUAAGGAACUCAGCAAGACCCUGUCUCUAAAUAAAAUAUAAAAAGGGUCUAGGGAUGUGGCUGGGUGGUUAAGCACCUCCCUAGGUUCAUAUAUAUAUAUGAAGCCAGGUGUGGUGGUACAUGUCUCAAUUCCAGUCACUUGGGAGGCUGAGGCAAGAAGAGCAAAGGUUCAAGUCUAAGCUAUGCAACUUAGCAAGACUGGCUUUUGAAAUAAAAAAUUUAAAAAAGGGCUGGAGAUGUUGCUCACUGGUAGAGUCCCCUCAGUUCAAUCUCCAGUACCACCAAAUCAAACCAAACCAACCAAACAAAAAACCCCAAACAAAACAAAACACCUCCCUCCAACAUACACACAGAAGAAGAAGGAGGAGGAGGAGGAGAGGUGGGGAAGAAAGUUGGGAAGUUAACAGAUACAUGAAAUGAAAUGAGGCACUCCCAAAUAGCCAACUGGGCACAAAGGAAUCACAAGGGAAACCAGGAAAUAAUUUGAAAUUAAUAAAAAUGAAAACAGAAUGUACUACACUUGUGGAAUACAACCAGAAGGAAUUUAUAUCUAUAAAUGCCUAUAUUUUAAAAAAGGUAUUAGACCCAUAACCUAAUUUUCCACCCUAAGAAACUAGAAAAAGAAGAGUAAACUAAAUUUAAGCAAGCAGAAACAAGAAAAUAAUAGAGACUAGAGUGGAAAUAAGUGAAACAGAGAAUAGAAAAACAAGAACAUAUAUUCAAAAACACUUAACUAUAUAGACCUUUGCCAAAAACUCAUAAACACAACUUCAAUAUGGUCUUGACAACAAGAGCAAAGGUUUAACCAGUUUUAAUUUCUUGAGGCUUUUCCCUCAUUUUCCUUCUACAAUAACAGCUACCACAUUGGUAUGAAUAAAUGACAAUACGGAGAAAAAAUUCAUCUUGCUGAGCUUGUCAGUGAUUAGAAAUAUUCCAACCUUGUAUUUUAAAGUACUUAAUAGAAAUAAAAUCAGUGAUGACCGCCAGGUCUAGAGAACACGCCAUGACACUUGAAAGGAAUAGUUUUGGAAUAAAUAUAUAGAAAAACUACCUUUUAUAUUGGGCAAUAAAUUUAUGAAAUUGUUCCCCUGAUGUAAAAUACCAAAUGUCUCAACAAAUGGCUUAGGGAUAUAUAUAUAUAUAUAUAUAUAUAUAUAUAUAUAUCUUAUAUAUUUAAUAUAUAUUUAAUACCUUUAUUUUAUUUAUUUUUUAUGUGAUGCUAAGGAUCAAACCCAGUGCCUCAUACAUGCCAUGCAAGCAGCUCUACCACUGAGCCACAACCCCAGCCCUUGGGGAGAUAUUUGAGGAGAUCAAUAUCCACUUUUCCAGCAAAACAUUUGCUCUUCAAUUCACUGAUCUUCAUCACCACUCUACCUCUUCCACUGAUUAGCACGGAGUAUUGCUGUAUCUCUUAAGAACUCAAACUUAAAUUUCUCUCUCCAGUGGACUCUCUUACCCCUUUUCCUUCUGAUUCUCACACUCACUGAAUAUUCUCAGCCUUUCUGAAACUUCAGCUCCUUAUCAUUUAUUUCCCUAUAUGUACAGUCCUUCUGACCAUUAUGUUUUGUUUUGUUUUUUAUAUUUUUUAGUUGCCAAUUGAUUUUUUUCCUUUUUUUUUAGUUUAUUUUAUAUAUGGUGCUGAGGAUUGAAUCCAGGGCUAGGCAAGUGCUCUACCACUGAGCCCCAGCCCCUGUCUGACCACUUUGUUCAGUUUUUGUCAUAAGGAAGAACUGCUUAGACAAUGGUAAGAAACUGUCAGGUGAGGCCUGGAAAUAAAGGAGACAGCAAUUUCAUAGAGUCAAGACUUGGAACCAUAAUUCAGGAACCUUCAUCUCACGGACCUUCUGCCAUUCCUACCAUACCCUCCACCAUCCUCUGUCUCUACACUCUAUCUCCAGCUUCCCAAAAAACAUAAUCAACCACGCUGGUUAAGUCCAUUGUUUGUGGCAUGGGUAGUGUGUUUGGGAGGUAUGUGCGCAAGGUAAACAAUAUCUCAGAACAACUCAAAGUGCACAAAAUCAGAUGUAAACAUUGUGACAUACAAACUACAAUUUUAUUUGUCCAAUAUUAAUGUAAGAUCAAGAAAUUUUCAUCGAAAUAGAAAACAAGAACAAAGACAUAUCAUAAGCACCUUGUAUAUCUUACUGACAUUGACAUUUUAAUUGGCACCAUCUUUACUAGACUGGUAUCAGGCAUGAGUUUAUUAAUUCAUGUGUUCACGUACCUUUAAUGAUAUUUGGGAAAUUUCUUUCCCCCUCUCUUUUAUUCCUCCUUGCUCCCUUCAUUAAGGCCUCAACAUGAAGGGCUUUUCUGUACCACAUCAAGUCAAGUAUGUCUCCAAAACACAUUUGUCGCACUAUGCCUGUGCUAGCUGGGGCUGCAUUGUUGCUCGGCAACCUAAAACAUUUAUUUUUGUUUUCUUGAUUUCCUAUCAGUUUCCUCAAUUAACUGCCAAUGCUUUUUGGUCUCUUCAAACCUGUCUCCACUUUUUUUUUCUCAGUAAAUAAAUCACAGACUUUAACACAUCAGGCAAUAACUAACUAAAAGGAGUGAAGAGACUUGCCUGGUAUUAAUUUGUGCCAAUUUUUAGGACUAGAAACCUCUAGUCAGACUCUAAUUUAAAAAUUCCCACUACCUCAGGGCCAUGUGAGUGGACUGAAUUCAUUUGUGACAUGAGAUUUUUCUGAUUUCUUUUUUGACAGUUCUGAGUGUCAUGGAUUUCCUCCCUCCUGUUUCAGAGGAAGCGCUGAUUCUCUGAGUUAAGUCCUGCCAGUGUUUCCCAGAAGGUGAGGCCAGCACCUCUGAGGGCGUGGCAGAUGACCUAAAUCGCACACGGAUCUGGUAUUGAAUGAUGUUUAAUCCCUCAGUGAGAACACUGCUUUAUUCCAUGCUCUUUCAGUCUCUGACAAGGACAAAGACUUGUAUCCGUGUUUAAUGCCUCUCCACCAACAACCGUCUCCUUCUUCAACAAAGAGCAGUGGACAUGCUGGGAAGCUUGGUGCAAUCUUUUCUAACCAGAAUUUAAUAGUAUUGUUUUACUUACUUUCCUUUAUGGCAAAUGAUGCUGAUUUUCCAGUGUUACUUUUUUAAGUAAAAUAAUAAAUUUGAUUGAAAAAUAAAAUAUUGCUAAAUAACAUAAGUGGG
rnacentral:lncRNA from 1 species